GACGAACGCUGGCGGCGUGCUUAACACAUGCAAGUCGAACGGAAAGGCCCUGCUUUUGUGGGGUGCUCGAGUGGCGAACGGGUGAGUAACACGUGAGUAACCUGCCCUUGACUGUGGGAUAACUUCAGGAAACUCGGGCUAAUACCGGAUAGGAUCUCCUGCUGCAUGGUGGGCGUUGGUGAGUUUCGGCGGUUGGGGCUGGACUGGCGGCUUAUCGGCUUGUUUGUGUGGUAGUGGCUUACCAAGGCUUUGACGGGUAGCCGGCCUGGGAGGUGGAACGGCCACAAUGGGACUACGAGACGGAGCAGACUGCUACGGGAGGCAGCAGUGGGGAAUAUUGCACAAUGGGCGGACGCGUGAUGCAGAAACGCCGCGUGCGGGAUGACGGCCUUCGAGUUGUAAACAGAUUUCGCCUGUGACGAAGCGUGAGUGACGGUAAUGGGUAAAGAAGCCACGGCUAACUACGUG
rnacentral:rRNA from 1 species